AUUGAACGCUGGCGGCAGGCCUAACACAUGCAAGUCGAGCGGAUGACAGGAGCUUGCUCCUGAAUUCAGCGGCGGACGGGUGAGUAAUGCCUAGGAAUCUGCCUGGUAGUGGGGGACAACGUUUCGAAAGGAACGCUAAUACCGCAUACGUCCUACGGGAGAAAGCAGGGGACCUUCGGGCCUUGCGCUAUCAGAUGAGCCUAGGUCGGAUUAGCUAGUUGGUGAGGUAAUGGCUCACCAAGGCGACGAUCCGUAACUGGUCUGAGAGGAUGAUCAGUCACACUGGAACUGAGACACGGUCCAGACUCCUACGGGAGGCAGCAGUGGGGAAUAUUGGACAAUGGGCGAAAGCCUGAUCCAGCCAUGCCGCGUGUGUGAAGAAGGUCUUCGGAUUGUAAAGCACUUUAAGUUGGGAGGAAGGGCAUUAACCUAAUACGUUAGUGUUUUGACGUUACCGACAGAAUAAGCACCGGCUAACUCUGUGCC
rnacentral:rRNA from 1 species